UUUAACGGAACGAGAUUUGUGACGAAGAUGAGGAUUGCAUACGAAAGCCCACGCCCUUGUUUCCAUGGAUUCAAAGCCUAUCGCAAAAGGUAAUCUUCCAAGAUCCCCUCGAUUAUUAUCUGGGUUCUCUUUUAGGGUUAGGGUUAUUGGAUUUCUGGUGAUGUCCUCCCCUUCAACUUCUCAGAUUUCUUCAUGGAUUUGAUUGCUUUGAUACCCUAUUUUCCUCCUGUUUUCGGAGGAUUUCGGGAGAUUCUAGAGUUAAGGGUUACGAAUCAAUUUUCAUUUGGAAGUCUUUAAUGUCUUUUCCUCUUAAAGGGUUUCCGAUGGGGCUCUUUCUCUACGGGAUGGACAUCGAAAGGAUUCUAUUGUGAAGGCUGAGUUGCCUCAUUUGAUGGUUCUAGGGUUUUUGUUUUCUGAGCCAGCGGUUCUGAAUCUUCAGCCGUUGUUUCAUAUUUCAAUGCUUAUGUUUGGGGAUUUUGUCAGUUGAUUGAUGAAUCUAGGGUUUUCUUUGGUGGGUUUUUGUGGGAUUGAUUUACGAAGAUCUUUAUGAGGUGCUUCUAUUGACGUUGGUGGUAUUGCAAAAAUUCCACCCCCACCAGCAAGAAAAACCCUAAAGGGGAUAAGGGAAAAUGGGGGAAGCUCUUCUCACUACGCUAUCCAUGGAGAACCAUCACCCAUCAACCCUCUUAUCCAUGGAUUCAAGCGCCAACUCGCAUGAUGAAUUGGAAAGAGAGAUUAAUAGGCAGCUAAUCCUUUCCCGACCGCCCGAUAUUAAUCUGCCACUGUCCGCAGAACGUAGCCCGCCGCCCCAGCCAUGGAACCCUGACCCUUGUGAUAUCCUAGAUGUUGGGCUUGGGUCUCAGAUCUAUGAGACAGAGACUCUCCUCAGCCUCCCCAAGAUGGGUAGGAAAUGUGCCAAGCGGGUAGACAGCAUCUGGGGUGCCUGGUUUUUCUUUAGCUUCUACUUCAAGCCAGUUUUGAAUGAGAAGUCCAAGGUUAAGAUCACACGGGACAGUAAUGGUGUUUCUGGGUUUGAUAAAUCCGAUCUCCAUCUCGAUGUAUUCCUGGUUCAGCAUGAUAUGGAGAACAUGUACAUGUGGGUUUUUAGGGAAAGGCCUGAGAAUGCAUUGGGUAAGAUGCAGCUUAGGAGUUACAUGAAUGGGCACUCUCGCCAAGGAGAGCGCCCUUUCCCGUUCAGUGUGGAUAAGGGCUUUGUUCGAUCUCACAGAAUGCAGAGGAAGCAUUACAGGGGCCUUUCUAAUCCACAGUGUGUGCAUGGUAUUGAGGUUGUUUGGUCACCUAAUCUCGUGGGUCUUGAUGAGGAAGAGCGGAAAAGGUGGAUAGAACUCACAGGCCGGGACGUGAACUUUACCAUCCCUCCUGAAGCCAGUGACUUUGUUGCAUGGAGGAACCUUCCAAACACAGAGUUUGAGCUUGAGAGGCCCCCUCCUAUAAAAAGUAACCCACAACCCAAUUCAAAGAGAUUGCUCAAUGGGUCUGGCCUGAAUUUGUCCACCCAACCUUCAAACCAUGUCAAUGGUGAUGGGAUGGACCUUUCACCUGUUUCCAGCAAACGGAGAAAGGACUUCUUCCCACAUGGGAAUGACGAUGAUUGUUGUUUGCCUAUGAAUUCGCAUUCUGAUCGAGUUACGGAUAUGGAGGUUCACCCGAUCGAGCCACUGUGGUUGAAUGAAUUCAGUGGUGUAAUGAGGAACAUAUAUGGACCCGUCACUGCUGCAAAAACCAUUUAUGAGGAUGCUGAAGGGUACUUGAUCAUUGUUAGUGUGCCUUUUGCAGAUCUUCAGAGGGUGAAAGUUUCUUGGAGGAAUAGUCUAACUCAUGGGAUUGUAAAGAUAUCCUGUGUGAGUACAGCCCGCAUGCCAUUCAUCAAGAGGCAUGAUAGGACAUUCAAGCUCACAGAUCCAUCACCUGAGCACUGCCCUCCGGGGGAAUUCAUAAGAGAAAUCCCACUUGCAACUCGAAUUCCAGAAGAUGCCAAGCUAGAAGCAUACUAUGAUGAGACUGGGACAGUGCUGGAGAUUAUGGUUCCAAAACACCGGGUGGGUCCAGAAGAACAUGAGGUCCGUGUGUGCCUUCGUCCUCACCUUGGAACCAACGAGCUGCUGUUGACUUGAAAGAGGCAUUGAUAUGAAAAAUCUUUCUGACUGGGGUUACUCCUGAGCUGCAAACUUUAUUUCCCCAAAGUUAAAUGUUUUUUGCAGACAUUGGGUGUGUGGCUGACUGAAAGAUAUUCCCACUCUUGAAUCUCUACUUAGCCUGAUGGAGAACAUUGUAUAUGUAUUAAUUGGUAUUUUUCCUGUAGUUGUCUUAUUGUGGUUCUUGGAUCCAAUUGUGUUGUCCUUAAA